CAAUUGUAAAUUCUUUCUCUGUUCCUUUGAGAUGUAAAUCUUCUCACAGCCUCUUGUCACUUUUACAACCCAGAAAUGUCUUUCUCAGGGACCUGGUAGCCAUCCAUCCCUUUGAAAUACAAUCAUCAAGAAAUAUAGCACUCCUUUCUUCCAGUCCUCUCUGUGGGAGGGUAGGAGCCUAACUUUCAUAAACACCAACUAGUAAACACAAAUGUCCUAAUCACGUUGAUCAACCUCCUCCCUAAUGCCCUCUAGUACUUUUCCACUAUCUCACUCCAGUUUUUAUUUCAGUGGAGUUAAAUUCAAUCUCUCUCUUCUAUGACAAUAGUCUCAAAGAAAGUCUUCCUUGCCAGUUUAACUCUGUCCAGUGCAAUAUUUCUUUGACACCCCAUGUCCCUACUUUUCAAGUGUAUCUUCCCCUGUGGUUUGAGUUCAGCAUAGAUCUCUUCUUAUUUGUGUAUGAACCUUAAUUUUAAUGACCAAGAACUUGACCAUGGUCCCAAAAUGAAAAUCUUUCAUGGCUCCUUUCUAGUGCCAUAGGAAUCCUAAUUGGCAUAUGGUAACCAGUAUGACCUUUCAUAGAUUUUAUUGAAGGGUGGAAGAGAUGCAUUCGUAUUAGGCUUCUCUGUAGCUCUUUAUUCAUUGAUGAAGAAGAGUAUCCAAUGAAUGACAGACAAAAAGACUGAUAUUUAAUGAGCAUCUAAUAUGUACAAGGCAUUCAUCUCACUUCUUUAUGUAAAUGUUCUCGUUUAAUCCUCAAAAAUCACCGUAUGAGAUAUGUGUUAAGCAUCUCCAUUUUUCAGAUGAAGAAACUGAAAUGAAAAAAUGGGAAAUGGCGGGGUCAAGAUUCUCAGCCAGGUCCGGCUGACUCAAACACUUGAACUUUUUUUCUUUAUUCCUUGAUGGCCUAUUUUUAUUCAAUUGAGAAACAUAUCUAAUAUGGAUUUUUGUUUUUGCUAUUUAAAUGCUUCAGUCAUCAUUAAUUAUUUUUGAGAAUAAGAGAUCCUUAGACCCAUAAGAAGGGGAAAAAGGGAAAAAUAAUUUGAAGGGAGAAAACUAUUCUGAUAUGCAAACCUUUAUCUAUUUUUUUAAUAACUGCGUUAGUUGUAUAUAUGUUUUUCAAAAGGUUAAUGAUAUUUUUCUCCUAAAUUCUUAAGAAAUAGAGAUGAGGAGUAGAGAGGAAAUGGGAUUGAAAAAUCACAGAGUUUGAACCAGGACAAACAGGGUACAGGGUUCAAAUAUUGGCUUCAUUGCAUGCACAACAUGUGCCUUAAGGCAAGUUAUAUAAAGCCUCUGGGCCUCAGUUCCCAAAAGCAAAAAUAAAACCUUUCCUCUUUACCUUACAAGUUUAUUGCAAAGAUCACAUAACUCGUAAGGGCAUGAACUCUGUAAACUGCAAAUUGCCAGACCAAAUUUAAUUAUACUCAUUUUCCUAUGGAUAAAUGAGAACUGAGUUUCCUUCCCAUUAAAAUACUAUCAGUGUGUGCUUCUCUAUCAUACAUUAAGAUAUAUCACUUAAAAUGCUUGAGCCUAUUCUUUUUCUGUAUUUCCCAGACAUACUUAGUGUCAAUUCUUAGAGAUUCUUUGUUCCUAAAACUGAGUAAGAAUUCAGGAUUAAGGUCUUAGAACCAGAGGAUAAUUGAAAAACCAUAUAUUUUGAUCUGCAGUAAACAUUGAAGGAAAUUUACUCAAGUCUCUUUUACUCUGCACAGUUUGUUUUAUGUAAACAAGAGCACAGAAUUCAAUGGGAUUUUCAGAAAUAUUCAGCUCAUAAAUUGUUCCUGCUGAGCAUCACUAUCCUAUAAACAUCACUCUAAUUUGGGAAAUUGCCAGAGAACUCUUAACGUUCAUACCAAACUUCUAUUUCUUUCACUUUUACUAUUCUUUCCUCUGACAUGUGGUUUCCUUAGCUCUCCCAGAAAUGAAUAGAAAGCCUUCUCUCUUUGGGUCUUACUCCCAUGUUGCAGCCAAUUUGACUCAACCACAGUUAUACUAAAUAU
ensembl:lncRNA